rnacentral:lncRNA from 1 species
UUUUUUUUUUUUAAAGAUUUUAUUUAUUUAUUCAUGAGAGACGCACAGAGAGAGGCAGAGAAGCAGGCUCCCCAUGGGGAGCCCAAUACAGGACUUGAUCCUGGGACCCCAGGAUCAGGGCUUGAGCCAAAGGCAAAUGCUCAACCACUGAGCCACCCAGGCAUCAUGCCUCUCCCUCUUCCUCUCCUCCUCCUCCUCCUCCUCCUCCUCCUCCUCCUCCUUCUUCUUCUCUUUUUUAAGAUUUUGUCUAUUUAUUUGAGAGUGAGAGAGCAUGAGCAUAAGCAGAGGGAAGGCAGAGGGAGAGGGAGAAGCAGGCUCCCUGCUGAGCAGGGAGCCUGAUGCACGACUGGAUCCCAGGACUCUGGGAUCAGGACCCAGGCUGAAGACAGGUACUUAACUGACUGAGCCACCCAAGUGCCCCCUGUCGAUUUAAUCACAGCUUUGUGGGGACUGAAACAAUAAAUGCAAAUAUCUACAAUUUAAGAAAACUUAAUGGUUAGUAGCAUACAUUUAUCUGUACAGUUAAUUACAUGCAAUUGCCUUUUUUAUUGUAUAAACAUUUUAUUUAAGCAUAUCUCAAGUUUUUCUGCGUACGGUAAAAGUUUUAUUUAAGAUCCAGACUGGAGAUUUUAUGAAUUGCUGUUGGCAGGGAUUCACAGCACCCAGAUGACAUGUGACCUUUAUAAUCUGAACUUGAUGACAACCUUCAAAAUUGACCAGAGCAUUUUUUUAAAGAUUUUGUUUAUUUAUUCAUGAGAGAUACAGAGAGAGAGGCAGAGACACAGGCAGAGGGAGAAGCAGACUCCCUGAGGGGGAACCUGAUGUGGGACUCAAUCCCAGAUCUUCAGGAUCACGCCCUGGGCCGAACAGGUACCGAACCGCUGAGCCACCCAGGCAUCCCUUGACCAGCAUAUUGAGAUCAUAUAUCUGCCUUUCCUCUUUGGUUAAACUCCUAGUUUAAUUUUUUUCCCUUUCAAUUGAAUCACCUAUUACUGGAAUUAAAACAAUUUUCUUGGAAAUCCGUCAGGAGCUUUUGACGGAUGGUUGUUCUAGAACCUGAGAAAAAAUUACCUCCCUGAGCUAAGCAAGGUUAGCUUAGAAAAAUCUUAGGUCACCAAAUCUCUCGGAAUGUAUCUUAGAUUUAAUAGCUAAGAAAAAUCCAAGGUACAUUCCAAGAGAUUUGGUGAUUUCGAUUGCAUUUAACUGCACUGGUAUAUGAGAGGUAGCCUA